rnacentral:rRNA from 1 species
GAUGAACGCUAGCGGCAGGCUUAACACAUGCAAGUCGAGGGGCAGCACGUCUUCGGAUGGUGGCGACCGGCGCACGGGUGCGUAACGCGUAUACAACCUACCUUAUAGAGGGGAAUAGCCCAGAGAAAUUUGGAUUAAUGCCCCAUAGUAUUAUCGAAUAGCAUUAUUUGAUGAUUAAACAUUUAUGGCUAUAAGAUGGGUAUGCGUUCUAUUAGCUAGAUGGUAAGGUAACGGCUUACCAUGGCGACGAUAGAUAGGGGUCCUGAGAGGGAGAUCCCCCACACUGGUACUGAGACACGGACCAGACUCCUACGGGAGGCAGCAGUGAGGAAUAUUGGACAAUGGGCGAGAGCCUGAUCCAGCCAUGCCGCGUGCAGGAAGACGGCCCUAUGGGUUGUAAACUGCUUUUAUACGGGAAGAAACACUCCUUCGUGAAGGAGCUUGACGGUACCGUAAGAAUAAGGAUCGGCUAACUCCGUGCCAGCAGCCGAC